GUACACGCCCUAAACGAUGUCAACUGGUUGUUGGAGGAGUUAAAUCCUUUAGUAACGAAGCUAACGCGUGAAGUUGACCGCCUGGGAAGUACGGCCGCAAGGUUAAAACUCAAAGGAAUUGACGGGGGCCCGCACAAGCGGUGGAUUAUGUGGAUUAAUUCGAUGCAACGCGAAAAACCUUACCUACCCUUGACAUGCUAGGAACUUGCCAGAGAUGGCUUGGUGCCCGAAAGGGAACCUAGACACAGGUGCUGCAUGGCUGUCGU
rnacentral:rRNA from 1 species